rnacentral:rRNA from 1 species
AUGACUAAGGAUAACUUGUUAAAAAGAGGUAUCAGUAAACCACCUGAAUGUAUGUUUUGUAAGGAACAGGAGUCAAUAGACCACCUGUUCUUUGGAUGUGUGGUUGCCAAACAGAUCUGGGCUGAAAUGUCCAAGAUCCUUUCCCAUGAUAUAGGCAAUGACUACAUAUCUAUUGCUAGAUUUUGGCCAGCUCAUAAACAUAAAAUGGUCUUGAACUCGGUUUGUGCCUGUGUUAUGUGGUGCAUCUGGAAGUUCAGAAAUUCCAUGAUUUUUAAUAAUGUGAUGUGGACUGAUCUUAAACAGGUUUGGUGGCAGAUCCAUUGGACUCUCAAGAAGUGGAUGAUCUUGUUCAAAGAAAUAGGUCUAGAAGAGCUGAAGCUGGUGUCACAGAAAGUGGCAAUGACCCUCACCUCUCCUUUCCUACUGACCAUGGGGUGA